rnacentral:tRNA from 1 species
GGCGCGGUGGCGAAGAGGAAACGCGGGAGUCUGCAAAACUUCUACGCAAGGGUUCGAUUCCCUUCCGCGCCUCAA